rnacentral:rRNA from 1 species
AUGAACGCUAGCGGCAGGCUUAACACAUGCAAGUCGAGGGGCAGCGGGAGUAGCAAUACUUGCCGGCGACCGGCGCAAGGGUGCGUAACGCGUGAGCAACAUGCCCGUAUCAGGGGGAUAAUCCAGGGAAACUUGGUCUAAUACCGCAUAAUAAUCAUUUGGGGCAUCUUGGAUGAUUUAAAAUUUCGAUGGAUACGGAUUGGCUCGCGUGACAUUAGCUGGAUGGAGAGGUAACGGCUCACCAUGGCUACGAUGUCUAGGGGUUCUGAGAGGAAGGUCCCCCACACUGGAACUGAGACACGGUCCAGACUCCUACGGGAGGCAGCAGUGAGGAAUAUUGGACAAUGGAUGGAAAUCUGAUCCAGCCAUGCCGCGUGCAGGAAGACGGCCCUAUGGGUUGUAAACUGCUUUUGUAUGGGAGCAAUAAGGGCUACGUGUAGCCUGAUGAGAGUACCAUACGAAUAAGGACCGGCUAACUCCGUG